GUUAUGUAUUAAACUGUCAGAUAGACUAGAACAUGCUAAAACACUUUUGGAAAGGCUUCAGGGAAGAGGAAGAAGUCGAACAUAUGGGAGAAAGGAACAAUCAGUAAUGUCAUGUUCCUGAGAAGAUGGAAAGGAAGAUUUGAUUGGUUUAUGGUUGAACGAGGGACACAGCUUCCAAAACAGGGAAGGGAAGGCAGGGAUGUCUAAAUGUAGGCCCUCCUCACAGUGGGAAGACUGCUUUAGCUGCAAAAAUUGCAGAGGAAUCCAACUUCCCGUUCAUCAAGAUCUGUUCUCCUGAUAAAAUGAUUGGCUUUUCUGAAACAGCCAAAUGUCAGGCCAUGAAGAAGAUCUUUGAUGAUGCGUACAAAUCCCAGCUCAGUUGUGUGGUUGUGGAUGACAUUGAGAGAUUGCUUGAUUACGUCCCUAUUGGCCCUCGAUUUUCAAAUCUUGUAUUACAGGCUCUUCUCGUUUUACUGAAAAAGGCACCUCCUCAGGGCCGCAAGCUUCUUAUCAUUGGGACCACUAGCCGCAAAGAUGUCCUUCAGGAGAUGGAAAUGCUUAACGCUUUCAGCACCACCAUCCACGUGCCCAACAUUGCCACAGGAGAGCAGCUGUUGGAAGCUUUGGAGCUUUUGGGCAACUUCAAGGAUAAGGAACGCACCACAAUUGCACAGCAAGUCAAAGGGAAGAAGGUCUGGAUAGGAAUCAAG
rnacentral:misc_RNA from 1 species